UACAGAGGGGGCAAGCGUUGUUCGGAAUUACUGGGCGUAAAGGGCGCGUAGGCGGCCUUCUAAGUCAGGCGUGAAAGCCCCGGGCUCAACCUGGGAACCGCGCUUGAGACUGGUGCGCUCGAGUUCGGGAGAGGAUGGUGGAAUUCCCAGUGUAGAGGUGAAAUUCGUAGAUAUUGGGAAGAACACCGAUGGCGAAGGCAGCCAUCUGGACCGACACUGACGCUGAGGCGCGAAAGCGUGGGGAGCAAACAGG
rnacentral:rRNA from 1 species